rnacentral:rRNA from 1 species
UACGAAGGGGGCUAGCGUUGCUCGGAAUGACUGGGCGUAAAGGGCGCGUAGGCGGUUCAGUGCAGUGGGAUGUGAAAUUCCUGGGCUCAACCUGGGGGCUGCAUUUCAUACGGCUGGGCUUGAGUGGGGAAGAGGGUCGUGGAAUUCCCAGUGUAGAGGUGAAAUUCGUAGAUAUUGGGAAGAACACCGGUGGCGAAGGCGGCGACCUGGUCCUUUACUGACGCUGAGGCGCGAAAGCGUGGGGAGCAAACAGG